CCUACGGGAGGCUGCAGUGGGGAAUAUUGCACAAUGGGGGAAACCCUGAUGCAGCAACGCCGCGUGAGUGAAGAAGUAUUUCGGUAUGGUAAGCUCUAUCAGCAGGGAAGAAAAUGACAGUACCUGACUAAGAAUCCCCGGCUAACUACGUGCCAGCAGCCGCGGUAAUAUGUAGGGGGCAAGCGUUAUCCGGAUUUACCGGGUGUAAAGGGAGCUUAGUCGGCUGCGCAAGUGCGAAGUGAAAGGCCUGGGCUCAACCGCGGGACUGCUUUUGAAACUGUGUCGCUAGAGUGCAGGAGAGGUAAGUGGAAUUCCCAGUGUAGCGGUGAAAUGCGUAGAUAUUAGGAAGAACCCCGGUGGCGAAGGCGGCUUACUGGACUGUAACUGACGUUGAGGCUCGAAAGUGUGGGUAUCGAACAGGAUUAGAUACCCCUGUAGUC
rnacentral:rRNA from 1 species